rnacentral:rRNA from 1 species
AUUGAACGCUGGCGGCAGGCCUAACACAUGCAAGUCGAGCGAGUGGCGGACGGGUGAGUAAUGCAUGGGGAUCUGCCCGAUAGAGGGGGAUAACUACUGGAAACGGUAGCUAAUACCGCAUACUAUCGGAUGAACCCAUACGGGAUUAGCUAGUUGGUGGGGUAAAGGCUCACCAAGGCAACGAUCCGUAGCUGGUUUGAGAGGACGACCAGCCACACUGGGACUGGGACACGGCCCAGACUCCUACGUGAGGCAGCAGUGGGGAAUUUUGGACAAUGGGGGAAACCCUAAUCCAGCCAUCCCGCAUGUAUGGUGAAGGCCUUCGGGUUGUGAAGUGCUGUUGGCAGAGAAGCGGUAUCUGCAGAAUAAGCACCGGCUAACUCCGUGCCAGCAGCCGCGGUAAUAC